rnacentral:rRNA from 1 species
GAUGAACGCUGGCGGCGUGCCUAAUACAUGCAAGUCGAGCGAACGGACGAGAAGCUUGCUUCUCUGAUGUUAGCGGCGGACGGGUGAGUAACACGUGGAUAACCUACCUAUAAGACUGGGAUAACUUCGGGAAACCGUAGCUAAUACCGGAUAAUAUUUUGAACCGCAUGGUUCAAAAGUGAAAGACGGUCUUGCUGUCACGUAUAGAUGGAUCCGCGCUGCAUUAGCUAGUUGGUAAGGUAACGGCUUACCAAGGCAACGAUGCAUAGCCGACCUGAGAGGGUGAUCGGCCACACUGGAACUGAGACACGGUCCAUACUCCUACGGGACGCAGCAGUAGGGUAUCUUCCGCAAUGGGCGAAGGCCUGACGGAGCAACGCCGCGUGAGUGAUGAAGGUCUUCGGAUCGUAAAACUCUGUUAUUAGGGAAGAACAUAUGUGUAAGUAACUGUGCACAUCUUGACGGUACCUAAUCAGAAAGCCACGGCUAACUACGUG